AUGGCUCAACCCAUUCCCAACUGGCAAGGGAUGGGUUGCCAUGCUUCUUGGUUUGGCGUGUGGCGACAAGACCUCUUCCUCGAUUACAUGAAGGUUGCGGACUCCGCCGAUGCUGGGCAAAGGCAACGGUGGGCAUAUCACUGCUAUGUCAAUCCAGCACAAGCUGCGACUCAAGCAAACACAGAAGUGCACCAAGACGAUGACGAUUUACAGAUCGUCCCACCACCAGCACUACAGGCCCGCCGCCGUCCUCCUCCCAUCAUCGUCAUCAAUGAAGAGGAAGAUGAAGAGGAGGUGAAGGUGCCGCCAAAUCCUACCGAAGUCAUGCAAGAGUCUUACCAACUAUCAGUUUUAGUGUUAGCAAGUUUUAUUUAUUCUCCGAUUAUUUGUUCUAUCUAUGUAAUGCUAUCUAUUGUGCCUCCCAUGUGA
rnacentral:rRNA from 1 species